GCCCGGGUGGUGAAACUGGUAGACACAAGAGACUUAAAAUCUCUCGAAGGAAACUUCGUGCCGGUUCGAUUCCGGCUCCGGGCACCA
rnacentral:tRNA from 1 species